GCAAAUGCAAUCCCACAGAGAGCUUCAGGACUUCAUUAAGUUUUGCUGUAUUUAAAGUAGAGCUUCUCUCGUCUUGCAAGCUACGGGCAAAUGCUCCACUUUUGACAGCACAGUUUAUUGAACAGUACAUGUAUGUUUCAUGAAGAUCAUAAACUUGCUACGAGCAAAUGCUCCACUUUUGACAGCACAGUUUAUUGAACAGUACAUGUAUGUUUCAUGAAGAUCGUAAACUUUAUGCUCCUUCAGUGAUAUCCGGUAAUGUCCCUUCCUAGGCCUUUCAGAAGGCAGAGAGUUGCUGCAAAGAGGAUAACCACACAUGUUUGCUAUUG
rnacentral:lncRNA from 1 species